UGUUAUAGUUACAGUGCUACAAGCAUAUAUGUGAAUUAUUUUAAAACAAAUUAUUUUAAAAAUUAAAAAGAAAAUAUAAGUAUACAAAAAUAAGAAGAAUGGGUCAACUUAAAGUGCAAACAAAGUUUUAAGAAAAUGCUGAAAAAUGCUAAUGGCACUUUUUAAAUGUGAGGUAUUUCAGAACAGUCUGUUACAACUAUACAAACGAUAUUACAUUUUGAUGUUGUUGUUGUAACAUGCUUUUAUAAUUAUUUAGAUUCAAUGAAGUAACAUUGUUAGACGGGUCACUUCAAGCAGUCUUGGUUUGCUGUUUGUCCAGAACCUCAAAAAGAACUUGAUAAAACCUGAACUUUACGCAUGUCUUCCCUUCUGGGUAAACUUGAGACAACAUGUCUGCAAGCACAGUGCCAAAUCUGUGGUCCUCAUUAUCCUGUUGCCUGGCCAUUUCCCUUUCCUGGUCCAACCUCUCCAAUCCCUUCAAAAGAACUUGAUAAAACCUGAACUUUACGCAUGUCUUCCCUUCUGGGUAAACUUGAGACAACAUGUCUGCAAGCACAGUGCCAAAUCUGUGGUCCUCAUUAUCCUGUUGCCUGGCCAUUUCCCUUUCCUGGUCCAACCUCUCCAAUCCCUUCAAAAGAACAUCCUCGGUGUUCCGUUUUCUCUUACGUGCAGAAUCCGGUAGAAAUGUAGGGGAACAAACCGAGAUGCUUUGAGGGGAAGAUGUAUCUCUGCAAGGAGAGGUUGUACAUGUAGGUGCAGCCGUCUGGGCAGGAGACAGUUCAAGGGGACCCGGUGAGGCAGGCGGUGGUGAAGGCACUGUUGAGGAGGAUGAUGAAGAUGAUAAGCAAUUUUCAGUAGUGCUGCUUUCCAGGCGAUGAUUGGGGGCCACACUAUGUUCCUCCUAAAAGUAAAAAAAAAAAAAAAUACAUUAAGUAUCAGAAGUGUAAAACAAUUUUAACACCUCACUUAUUAGAAGAUACAAGCUAAACAAUAGUGUGCUACAAUAGUGUGCUAUUUCAAGCUAAACAAUAGUGUGUUUGGUUAAUCUCUUUCUCUAUUUGCAUGAGGAUCACUGCUAUGAACGCUUCAGCACAAAAACUCUUUUCUCUGUACAUUAACUUAAAUCUGAUAACAAAUAUGGUACUCUACAAACUUACAGUCAUGGGCAAAAAUAUGGGCACCCUUGGUAAAUAUGAUCAAAGGAGGCUGUGAAAAUUAAUCUGCAUUGUUAAUCUUGAUAUUUUAUUUGAAAAAUUCACAAAAAUCUAACCUUUCAUUGGAUAAUAAUUUAAAAUGGGGGGAAACAUCAUUAUAAAAUAAAUGUUUUUCUCAAAUACA
ensembl:lncRNA